rnacentral:rRNA from 1 species
UACGUAAGUGGCAAGCGUUGUCCGGAAUCACUGGGCGUAAAGCGCAUGUAGGCGGCUUCAUAAGUCCGGGGUGAAAUCCAGAGGCUUAACCUCUGAACUGCCUUGGAAACUGCGAAGCUAGAGGUACGGAGGGGGAAGUGGAAUUCCAGGUGUAGCGGUGAAAUGCGCAGAUAUCUGGGAGAACACCGGUGGCGAAGGCGGCUUCCUGGCCGUUACCUGACGCUGAGAUGCGAAAGCUAGGGGAGCAAACGGG